rnacentral:rRNA from 1 species
CUGGNCAGUUACUGACGCUGAGGAGCGAAAGCAUGGGGAGCGAACAGGAUUAGAUACCCUGGUAGUCCAUGCUGUAAACGGUGGGCGCUAGGUGUGGGCUGUGUGUUUGCAGUCUGUGCCGUAGCUAACGCAUUAAGCGCCCCGCCUGGGGAGUACGGCCGCAAGGCUAAAACUCAAAGGAAUUGACGGGGGCCCGCACAAGCGGCGGAGCAUGUGGAUUAAUUCGAUGCAACGCGAAGAACCUUACCUGGGUUGGACAUGCACCAGAUCGGCGUAGAGAUACGUCCUCCCUUGUGGUUGGUGCACAGGUGGUGCAUGGUUGUCGUCAGCUCGUGUCGUGAGAUGUUGGGUUAAGUCCCGCAACGAGCGCAACCCUUGUCUUAUGUUGCCAGCACAUUUUUGGUGGGGACUCAUGAGAAACUGCCGGGGUCAACUCGGAGGAAGGUGGGGAUGACGUCAAAUCAUCAUGCCCUUUAUACCCAGGGCUUCACACAUGCUACAAUGGUCGGUACAACGGGUUGCGACACUGUGAAGUGAAGCUAAUCUCUUAAAGCCGGCCUCAGUUCGGAUUGGGGUCUGCAACUCGACCCCAUGAAGUCGGAGUCGCUAGUAAUCGCAGAUCAGCAACGCUGCGGUGAAUACGUUCCCGGGCCUUGUACACACCGCCCGUCACGUCAUGAAAGUUGGUAACACCCGAAGCCCAUGGCCUAA